rnacentral:pre_miRNA from 1 species
UAUUAAGAAUUUUAUCAAUUCCUAUUGCUAAAAGUUGACAUGGUUAACAAAAUAAUUAAAAAAUUAUAUGUGACAUGUCACAUGUACCUCAUUUUAAUGUACAUAGAACUGUUUUUAACCGUAGAAAUGAAUGGAAUUUUUAAAA